CCGCUUUGCACAGCUCGCACUUUGCUUGCCCAUCCCUCCUCCCGCCUCGCUGUAAAAGAGGAGGAGGAGGAGACACCGGGACAGGUGCUUAGCUUGCUUUACAGCGAGGCGGGAAGAGGGAUGGGCAAGUAAAGUGAGAGCUGCGGCUCUCGC